CUACGGGAUGCUCCAGUGGGGAAUAUUGGACAAUGGGCGGAAGCCUGAUCCAGCCAUGCCGCGUGUGUGAAGAAGGCCUUUUGGUUGUAAAGCACUUUAAGCGAGGAGGAGGCUCCUUUAGUUAAUACCUAAAGUGAGUGGACGUUACUCGCAGAAUAAGCACCGGCUAACUCUGUGCCAGCAGCCGCGGUAAUACAGAGGGUGCGAGCGUUAAUCGGAUUUACUGGGCGUAAAGCGUGCGUAGGCGGCUUUUUAAGUCGGAUGUGAAAUCCCCGAGCUUAACUUAGGAAUUGCAUUCGAUACGGGAAAGCUAGAGUAUGGGAGAGGAUGGUAGAAUUCCAGGUGUAGCGGUGAAAUGCGUAGAGAUCUGGAGGAAUACCGAUGGCGAAGGCAGCCAUCUGGCCUAAUACUGACGCUGAGGUACGAAAGCAUGGGGAGCAAACAGGAUUAGAUACCCGGGUAGUC
rnacentral:rRNA from 1 species